rnacentral:rRNA from 1 species
CACCCUGAUGCAGCGACGCCGCGUGAGCGAUGAAGCCCUUCGGGGUGUAAAGCUCUUUCGACCGGGAAGAUAAUGACGGUACCUGGGGAAGAAGCUGCGGCUAACUCCGUGCCAGCAGCCGCGGUAAUACAUAGGGGGCGAGCGUUGUUCGGAAUUACUGGGCGUAAAGGGUGCGUAGGCGGUGCUGUAAGUCUGGUGUGAAAUCUCUGGGCUUAACUCGGAGGCUGCAGCCGAAACUGCCGUGCUGGAGGGUGGGAGAGGUGCGUGGAAUUCCUGGUGUAGCGGUGAAAUGCGUAGAUAUCGGGAGGAACACCUGUGGCGAAAACGGCUUUCUGGACCACUACUGACGCUGAUGCGCGAAAGCGUGGGGAGCAAACAGGAUUAAAUACCCUGGUAGUCAAA